AACGAACGCUGGCGGCAUGCCUAACACAUGCAAGUCGAACGAGACCUUCGGGUCUAGUGGCGCACGGGUGCGUAACGCGUGGGAACCUGCCCUUAGGUUCGGAAUAACUCCCCGAAAGGGGUGCUAAUACCGGAUAAUGUCUUCGGACCAAAGAUUUAUCGCCUUUGGAGGGGCCCGCGUUGGAUUAGCUAGUUGGUAGGGUAAAAGCCUACCAAGGCGACGAUCCAUAGCUGGUCUGAGAGGAUGAUCAGCCACACUGGGACUGAGACACGGCCCAGACUCCUACGGGAGGCAGCAGUGGGGAAUAUUGGACAAUGGGCGAAAUCCUGAUCCAGCAAUGCCGCGUGAGUGAUGAAGGCCUUAGGGUUGUAAAGCUCUUUUACCCGGGAUGAUAAUGACAGUACCGGGAGAAUAAGCUCCGGCUAACUCCGUG
rnacentral:rRNA from 1 species